UUAUAUUUCUGGUAAUUUCUGACAAGACCCGACUGGCAACACUGCAAAUAAUCACUAGUGGUCAUACGCCAACGUCACUCGCCCGAAGCCAUAAAAAAGAAAACAAAAACUUCCGGUUCCGGAAGAAAAAACAGCCAAGUGUUUUGCACUUUUGCAGCAUACUCUCUUCUAAUCUGUGUUUUGCAGUGUACAAAAUCAGUGGUAGAACGUAGAACCUACAAGUUUUUUUGUUUUGCACGGUGUUUUAUUUAAUAAACGCUUCUGUUGUGCGAAUUGGACGCGUGACGUGCUGAAGAUUAAAGACUUUGCAUAAUGGAAUCAAAAAAAUUUUUUUUGGUUACAUUUUUAGAUGAAGAUGAUGCUCCUGGCAUAGUUUCAUCAAAGUGGUUAAGAUACCAACACUUGUUAUUACCCUAAUGUAUGCACUGAAGAAAUCAAAAACAAACUUGAAGAAGAUGCCUGCACCUGAAGCAACAUGGUCACAAUAUCAAAUAAAAAUACUUAAAAGUUAUGAAACUUAUGGCGAAGCACGAUUACAUUUAAAAAAAGCGGAAGAAACCUGAAAUUUGGACUCAGACGAAGCAGAAAAUGAUGUUACAAAUGAAGUGACAGUGGACAUAAUGUCUGCUGUAAAUUACCCAGUCACCUCCGGUUCUAAAGAGGCCAAGCAAACACAACUCAAAGCUGUUAACUGCCAAUCAGAGUGCAUUACAAACAAGCAAUAUGCUAUACAGCAGAGUCAUAUGAUUCAGAUUGUGUCAGACCUAGCUAACCAAAUGGCUGAAAUCAAUAGAAAAUUGGAUUUACCGUUAGCUAGGUCCGAAGAAACAUUUUCACCAACAGAUGACAAUGCAGGUCUUUCAGAACUUUUGGCAAGUCUACCAGUAAAGAUAUUGCAAGUUUUAAUAAUUUCGAUGACCAUUUAAAAAUAAACAAGAAUACAGGCAAUAAUGUCAUUUUUGUCUGGUAUUGGCGGCAGAAAUGUAAAAAGCCUUACGACUAAUAUGUUGAGACGAAUAAUUCUAGAUGAUGUAGCCGAGUUGUAUUCGUUAACUGGGAAACAGAUGAAAAAUUCGAAUAAAAAGUCAUUUAUGAGUACAGAAACCUAUAAAUUAAUCUUUCAAAUAUGUAGAAAAAUCAACGAAGAUGUAACUGAAGACAGUCUAAAAGAAAUUAUAAGUGAUUGGCUAAAUCAAGCUAUAGUUAGACUUUCAAGAAGGUAAGAUUUAAUUU